GAUGAACGCUGGCGGCGUGCCUAAUACAUGCAAGUCGAGCGAACGGACGAGAAGCUUGCUUCUCUGAUGUUAGCGGCGGACGGGUGAGUAACACGUGGAUAACCUACCUAUAAGACUGGGAUAACUUCGGGAAACCGGAGCUAAUACUGGAUAAUAUUUUGAACCGCAUGGUUCAAAAGUGAAAGACGGUCUUGCUGUCACUUAUAGAUGGAUCCGCGCUGCAUUAGCUAGUUGGUAAGGUAACGGCUUACCAAGGCAACGAUGCAUAGCCGACCUGAGAGGGUGAUCGGCCACACUGGAACUGAGACACGGUCCAGACUCCUAAGGGAGGCAGCAGUAGGGAAUCUUCCGCAAUGGGCGAAAGCCUGACGGAGCAACGCCGCGUGAGUGAUGAAGGUCUUCGGAUCGUAAAACUCUGUUAUUAGGGAAGAACAUAUGUGUAAGUAACUGUGCACAUCUUGAAGGUACCUAAUCAGAAAGCCACGGCUAACUACGUG
rnacentral:rRNA from 1 species